rnacentral:rRNA from 1 species
AUAUCAAUAAGCGGAGGAAAAGAAACUAACAAGGAUUCCCCUAGUAACGGCGAGUGAAGCGGGAAGAGCUCAAAUUUGAAAUCUGGCUGUCUACGGCGGCCCGAGUUGUAAUCUAGAGAGGUGUUUUCCGUGCCGGACCAUGUACAAGUCCCUUGGAACAGGGCGUCAUAGAGGGUGAGAAUCCCGUCCGUGACAUGGACUCCCGGUGCUCUGUGAUACACCUUCAAAGAGUCGAGUUGUUUGGGAAUGCAGCUCAAAAUGGGUGGUAAAUUCCAUCUAAAGCUAAAUACAGGCGAGAGACCGAUAGCGCACAAGUA